CCCUCAUGGAGGCCGAGCAUAAAAGCCCAUCGCAUGCUAGCUAGCUAGCUAGGUCCCCUCCAAUGUGUGCCCGGCCCUUCCUCAACCUCUGCAUCCUUGCCCUACAACCACUUCACUUCUUCAUCACCCUGUUCCUGGCCUUGGCCUCAUCUAAUAAGCUCCUGCGGGCAUGGCUGACCUUGGCAUAUGCCAAUAGCUCAAUAGUGCAGCAAUAUCUGGUGAUCUCCGCUGAGAUCUACAUGUAUAUACCAUUUGCAAUCCCAGUUAACUCUAGCAAUACUCAGAGACGUUCUGCACGCCAAGCUUUUCCUUCGACGAUCCCCACGCCACACUAGCCGAGUGGUUCGUUGUUUAUCUCUAGAUGCAUGCAUUCACUUCUGAUCGUAGAGAGAGCAGCAGGACGUACGAUCUCGAUCGAUCUGUUGUAGGUGAUGAGAGAGUUGGAAAACCUACCACACGUACUAUAUAUCUACCUGCAACCAUAUAUGAGGAGUUCCGGUCCAUCCGUGCAUGCAUGAUCUACGUACAAGCAUGGUUGAUCAAUGGAAAGAGCGAUAUUGGUGAGGUUCAAUCCGAUGAUAGGUUUUACAGAAGCUGUAAAAUCAGUAUCUGAUUGAGCCGCGCCAAUAUCUCUUCCGCCUGUUUGGCCUCUCUCUUCCUUCUGAAUCGUGCUAAGGUAUGUUCAUGGCAUGCACAUCAGCGUCAUCAUAUCCUAUCCAUGUCACCGGCAUUGUUUUCAUUAAAGUCGCUAACUAAUUCUGUACAGAAUUAAUUAAGUGAAAGAUAACCCGUCUACCUCAACAAGUCAACUUAUUACAUGUAAGUAUCUAUCAUCAUAUUUUUGGCAAGCGAUGAUGGAUUUACCUUUAUGAAUGAAUUGACAAUGAACAGAGAAGUACUUUCUGUCAAGGUUAAUGCAUAUCUCUUCAAGAUUUUGUUCCACUGUUCCUCGUUAAUCAUGAUAGUAUAGUCGGUAUAAGUGUGCAGAUGUACACUUGCUUCUUCUUGUCUCUCUGUAUCCACAAAAUAUGAUUAUUAAUACAUCAUUGUCAAAAUUUUCAAGAUGGAAUAUUAUUUGAGGGUCGCAUUUACUUAUUGUUUGAAGAUUUUUUUGGUGUAAGACUCCUGUAUUCAUGGCAUCACAUUAGUACUACUCAACCUGUGUGCACAAAUUUUAGUUCGAUCCAAACAUGUUUUUAUUUGUCUUUUUUAUGUGUUAGCACUCAUCUCGAAGAGUUGCAACCUAGUAUAUAUAUAAAGUCUAUCUAUGCCCAUCAAAAUCUAUAUUGAACUUAAUUAUAUACAUGCAUGAAGUUGAUUAUCCCAAACCUUAGUUUCGCUGCACUGCUAAUUGAAUGACCAUGCAUAUUAUAUUGUUAUACACAAGCAAACAAUUGCCAUAUAUAACAAGCUGACCUGCUGUUAGUGAAAGUGUCAUAUGUGAUCCUCAGGCUCAGCUCUGCGACAGCGCUUGGCUGUGGCUUGGGAAACCCAAGAUUGUGUGCUUUUAUUUACCAUGAUGCUCAGAUCAAUCUGGAGUAUGAUGCAGAGGAUGAACAGGGAAUGACAUGGUGCCACGUAAACAAAUUUGAGGAGAGGGGGAGGAAGUUGGUGGGACAAGAAUAAGGUUUUACUCCCUUCAGGUCGUUUUAAAACUCUUCGGCCAAACUUCUACUUGACGUACCCAACAAUAAUGUAGAAAAGACUGCAUGAAUUGACACCACAUAUAUGGUUGAUAUAACUAGAUUCACCAUGAAAGAUACUUUCAUGGUAUCUAACUGCCUAUAUUUUAAAGUUAAAAUAUAUAGCAUACUUUUACCAAAAAAAGCCUUUUGAGUCAAAGUGUCAAAUUGGAGACUGUAAAAUUCCUAAACGGCAUACAUUUGGAUUUUGAGGGAACAGCAAUUAAUCUUAAUUUGUUUUGCAAGGAAGUCAUUUGUAAAUGAUGGUGAUAUAUGUCAUUGAAUGUCAGCUCUCUCUCCCCCCCUUUAUAUCCCACUCCCCUUCAUGAGGAAUUUCACUUAGAUGGAGUGAUGCAAUAAUGAAUUGUUCGCCUUUUGUUUUAUGGUUGUUUUGUCCUUUUUAUUAUUAUUGUUAGAUGAUUGCAUUUAGGGAGGUGAAGUGGGUAAGAGGAGGGGUGGAGCUAAAUUGAGGCCAAGAUGGGUGUGAGCAUUAGAGAUGCUUGCAAUAGUAUGUCUCUCUAGGGCAAGGAAAGAUCUAACAAUAAUCAUGACAACAUGAAACUUCGGCAUCCACUUUUGUAAGGCACAUUUUUUAUUCGGAGGUAAGCUAGGUUACCAAAAUUUUGACCAUGCACAUUCAGUGUCAAAGUUGUAUCAAUUACUAAUAUUAUUUAGUUUCAAUUUAAAGUUAAUUAGUCCUAUUGUUAUUGACAAUACAUCUAUUCAUCUCCUAUAUUUCGUAGUGUUUAAGAUUGUGCCCCCAAAAGGGUGUAGAGGCUGGAACCUUUAAUAUUCCAUUUUCUGAAAAAAGAACUCUCGAGACAUUGCCCUAAAAUAUGUUUACGCCUUUUUCUAUUUCAAAAUGUUGCAUGUAGUAUGGAUUGUUGACAUAGGAAAUUUUUUGUUGUUUACA